rnacentral:rRNA from 1 species
GACGAACCGUCCUAACGUUGUUCGGAUUCACUGGGCUUAAAGGGCGCGUAGGCGGCUCGGCAAGUCGGGGGUGAAAUCUUUCAGCUUAACUGGAAAUAGCCUUCGAUACUGCCGGCUGGAGGAGAUAGGGCACGCGGAACUUCCGGUGGAGCGGUGAAAUGCGUAGAUAUCGGAAGGAACGCCGGUGGCGAAAGCGGCGAGUGCUGGAUCUUCACUGACGCUGAUGCGACGAAGCCAGGGAGGCAAACGGG